ACCUCGGGUGGUGGCAGUGGCGGAGCCCCGGGCGGGCAGACUGGACGCCCCGUCCGCCGCCGCUGCCGCCGCCGGGCUUUCCGUGCAAGAUGCAGUUCCUCCUGGGGAAUCCGUUCAGCGCGCCGGUGGGACAGUGCAUCCGGAGACCAUGCUCACUUGUAUCUGAAACUCCCAAGCGAGAUUGGUCUGUGUGAAUUCCUGUUUUCUGCAGAUACGUUUUUGCCAGACUCGACUCUUUCUGGAGAGGGAAACACAGAAGCAGAGAUCAUGGCUGCUGUGUUUGUUUCCAUUGGACCUCUGGAGUCACUGACUUUCAAAGAUGUGGCUAUAGACUCCACAUUGGAGGCCUGGAGACUGAUGGACCCUACACAGAGGAACCUGCACAAGGAUGUGAUGCUGGAGAAUGACAGGAAUCUUGUCUCCCUGGGUGAGGGCUUGCAGUUUCCAAACCAGAUAUGAUAUCUCAUUUGGAGAAUGGACAAUGGUGAGAGAAAUUUCAAGAGGCCCCUAUCCAGUUUCUUCUAUGAAGCCCACAGUCAGGAGCCUCUCUGCCCAGCCAUGAUGUUUCAAGCUGUUGAAGCAUGCUGGCCCAAGGAUACAGCUACACAGAUUCCACAGGGAAGGUUCCUGGAUGGACAGAUCAGCCUGAUCCCAGUGCACACUCUGGAGGGCACCCAUGGGGAGUUCUUCGUGUCUCAUGAGGCCUUAGCUGCUGCUGCACCCACUGCUGUCUUCACGUGUGGAUCUGCUGCUUCCAGACUGUCUCUGUCAUGCACAUGUGCACCAGGAGGUCAGACCAGUGCCUCCACUGCCCACCCUGCCUGACCAGUACCUCCACUGCUUACCCUGCCUGCAUUUCUGAAGUCCCAGGAUGCACCAUAUCAUCCAUGCAUCCUUCCAACCUGUACUAGCCUCUUCUGUGGCAGGUCACCUGUCCCUGGUAUGGAGUGCCAGAGGUGGGAAGGGCUUGUGUGAAGUAACUCUUGUCUCUUGCUGAGAAGCGAUGCCGGGGGUUAUUUCAGAUGCAGCUGGGAUCCUGGUGCAGCUGCCCCACCAGAGGGAGUCCAUGGCUAGUGAGCAGCAGAGCAUCCCCAGGUCAGGAAGCCAGGAGUGUGCUUGUAUAACCCUGGAGAACAUUAAGAAUAGAAAUCAAGUAGAAGAUUCCUUACUAUUUGAGAGAAAUAGUUGAAUACAGAUGCAACCAGAGGAAAUAUGAAGUAUAAAUGAAGUUCUUGGGGAAAAAAACAAAAUGGGGAUACAAAGGUAAUGUUGAAAAUAAUUCAAUUUUUUCUGUCAAUGGAAAUAUACUUUCAAAUUCCAUCUGAAUAGAUUACUGGUUUCUCAGUGGGAGUAACUGAUUGCAAGUGAUAUUCCAGUAAAAUCUUGACCUUGAAGAAAACUCCUUUGGGCAUCUAGACUGAAAGGUGUACAUUAGAGGACACUGAAUUGGAAGCAGAGAACCUUGGAAUCAAACUGUUUGCAGUGGGGUCCUAGGCUGGGAUUAUUCCAGAUUCUUCACUCCACAUGUGAAAGAAUUCAAAGUGGAGACAAAAAGUGCAUAGAAAUGCAGGAUUCAUGUAAAGCACAGGAAAAGUGCACAUUUAAGAGCUAAGUCAGGCCAGCUCGAGAGAGAGAGUGAACACACAGACAAAAUAGAAAAAAGACUUCAACACUGCAGAAACCUCAACAAGGCUCAGACCACGCUUUUAUGCUAUUGGUAAGUGUGAGAGCUGGUGUCUGGGGUAGGACUUAAUUGAAUUUAAAAUUAUCAGAUUGUCAUGACUUCAGGUGCUUGAUGGGAAUGGGAGUGCUGGCCAUGGUAAAUUUAAAAUAAUGGCAUUAUAAUGACCUAAAGGUAUUGUGGGGACAUACCCUGCAGCCGUAUUGCAUAUUUACAGCUAGCACUGGUUGUACAUUUGCUGCGUUGAGGAAUUUGUGUGGGUUUUGUGUUUCCUUUUGCUACCUGGAAGUAUGUGGGCUUAGUGGUGCAUGGGAAGUGUGAGUGGAUGCUGCACAUAAAGGGAGUGUUGAGUUGUGGGCAGGCCCAGGCUGUCCUGCAGGGGUGAGCUGCAGCUGCUGUCAACUCACAAUUGCCCUGAUGGUGCCAUCCCAUGAUGCGUUGGGCCAGAGCAGUCAUGUAGUGGCUGGCACUGCUGCAUGUGUUGGCUUGAGCUGCCCAGCAGUGGCUCAUAGUACCACAUGAGUUGACUCCUCCCCUCACUACUUCCCUUCCCACAUCAGAACCAGGCACUGAGGUAUGGAUUGUGGGCAUCCCAUGUGUUGACUUAACUGCUGCAUCCAGCUCCUGCCCUCACAGAGCUGAGUGUUGACUAUGGAAAACUUGCCAGAGCUCUUUGGUUUUCUCUUCUCAUCUGUAAAGUUGUGUCUCUCUGCACCAUAAAACUGAUCUCUGUAUGUUUUGUUGAAAAAUAAUUGUGUUGUUGUAUUUAAGACACUGAAGUAUAUUACAGCACCAACAGAGUUAUGGAAGACACUUAUUUUUUUAUGUCUCUUAUAUAUACAGAUUUAGGAAUAUAAUAAUUCCCACCUUUCCCUCCCUCCCAUCAACACACCAACCAUUCUUCAUCCUCCCUCUCCCAUCCCCACUGUUAAUUUUUACAAAGAUCUAUUUUCAAUUCACUUAAUGGUUGUAAAGUUAACCCCACACUAAGUAAGAGUUCAACAAAUAAUAUGAAGAAAAAGGGACUGUUCCUCAAUGGAAGACACGAGGGCUAUAAACAACCAGCCCAAAUAUGUUUUCCUUGAUCCAAAAUAACUGCUGAGUAUCUAUAAUGCAGUCAAUUGAAGUGAAAUGGACAAUUUGAGACACUUCUUUUUAAAGAGUAAUGAAGCCAGUAGUAUGUACGUUACUUAAAUAUAGAAUUAGGAAACAAAUGUAGGAAACAUAACUGAUCUGUGGUCCUAUUCCUAUAAUUCACUCAAAGGAACAUUGCAGUGAAUUGCCAUCAAGUGAUAUGAGUGAAUUUGAUGGAUAGAGAGAGAAACCUUAAUCAUAUCAAAAGUUAAAAAAAAAGACCUAUACAUAGAAAACUCCCUUGAUCCUCAAAAGAAAGGUGCCAUGAGAUGACCCCCAUCCUUCAAGGGGCUGAGGGGAGCCCAGGUCUUGGGCAAAUGCCAGUAGUGCUUGUAUUCUGUCAUCUCCCCCAGGUCAUGUCAGGAGCCACUGAGUGCCCACAGAGCUACAGUGCUCAGCCAAGAUCUGGGGACCUCUCUGUGCUUCAUGCUCUUCCCAAGAGGCCAGAGAUAGGGAAGGUCAGGGGCAUCUUCCCAUAUCUCACAAACUGCAGUGAUUUACUGGGUCAGGCCCCACUGGUGAGGUUGGGCAGGUGAAGCAUUAGCUACAGCUAAUGCUACAGAGAUGUCUGCGAGCUCUGCCUUUACUCUGCACACACACCUCUAGGAAUGGCCCCAAUGCUCUCACACAGUUGCUGAUCCUACCAGGACCUUUGGACUCUCCUAAGGGUUACUGGAGGGCUCAGCCAAGCAGGCCUAGGGACAUACACAGAAUGGGGAUUUGGCCUUGGCACCUUCCCAGGGUGCAUACCUCUCUUGCCUGCCCAGAUCCUGUACAACCACUUUUCUUCUCUUGCUGGUUUAGGCAAGAUGGUCACCUUUCCAGUUUGGGGUUCCAUUUCCUUGGCUUGCGUGAUGUGCUUUAAAGCACAUGAAGCAGUGGAGUCCAUGUGGACUUCUCACCACUACCCCUAUCUGCCUGCUCCUCACAUUCCCUCUCCCUCCUCUGGGUCAAGGUUUUCUACGUCCUGCAUGCUCUUGGGUAAUUCACUUGGAGAGAACAUGUAGACCUCUGGAAUGAAAACAGUAAGCAUUCUUUGCAUGCUGCAAAUGUUGCAGUACAGGAUAAGCCUUGUUUUGGGGGCACCAAAGCCACCAUCACACUCCCUGGGUUUCUCUCUUCUGAGCUUGGUGGGUCCCAGCUUACCUGCUCCUGCUACAGCUCCUGCAGGGCCAGUUAGGUUGCUCAGCAUGACAUCACAGUGCAACUUGGGGGUCAGGAGUGAGGGCAGCUCAUCAAGUGAGAGAGGAGGGCUGCAUCCCCGGUGCAAGUGUAUCCACUGCCUGGGUGACGCCGGUCCUUCAGGAUGAGAAUCAUCACCUGUGGCACAGAAAGGGAGUGAAGAGCUUAGGAGGAGAAAGAAAGUGGGUCAAGAGGAAUUCAGUUCCCUGCAAAUCUUCACUUCCUUCUGUUUGCACAUUGCCAUGUUGCCCUCUGAGUGCAGGAACAGUGGCUGUGAUGGGGAGGUCUUAGGAAUGAGAGGGAGGCGAAAGUUGGACUUGAGGUGUAGACUCAGGCUGUCAUUUUUGAAUAGUAUCUUGAAUCUAGUCUCAAUGGAUAAUAGAUCUGCACUUGAAUCUCCCCCACUGAGGAAAAAGCUUAGGCCAUGUUAAAUAUGCACGAACAUAUUUUUAUAUAUAAAAAAGGAUGCCAAAAAUAAACAACAUUUCUGUGUCUGACACAGAAAGGCAACCUUGACACCUCACCUGGCCGUUCACUUUGAAUCUCUUCCACCAGGUCCUCAGGGACAACUAGGAGAACACAGGGUAACUGUCAGUGAAUUGGUCUUGUGGAAGAGUUAGGCAGGGAGACUUUUUGCUGCGGACAUGGGACUAGGUUGUGUGGAGGUGGUCAGUGAACAGUCAGACUCAGGCACUGCUGAGUCGUCGUCCUCGGUGUAGUCAAGAAGCCCCAGGAGAGGAUCAGGGAAGCGGUGAGAAACGAAGUCUUGGCCUUCUUGCUACAGACAACCAAACGGUAUGAAAGAACCAAUGUAGAAGUUGGUGAAUGCUCUCUGCACUGUGUGACAUGAUGAGGGCAUCUCUCCCUGCUGGUGCCCACACUGCAGGCAGGGAAAUCCCUGCUUUUCUCCUGACCUGUCCCAAGAUCAUUCGGCUUGUGCGGAUCUACGUAAACUGCUACCAUGUUUGCCAUGGAUUCCAUUGGGCAUUUAGUUGUUACAGUGUGUAUGAUAUGUAACAUUGACUGUUCUGUAAUUUGUUAGUAGAUUUCAGGGACAUUAAUUACAAUGACAUACCAUGUGCCCAUCGCCACCAUAUGCACCAACAAUUUGCGUUGUGCCCAACACAAAUUCUGAAUUACAACACAAACAUAUGUCUCUACUUCCCCUUCUUUUGAAUUUGUCUGUUGUAGGUACUGUAUUGUAAAGAAAUGCUCACUGACUUUCUGUGACUGCUGUAUUUCAGUAAGCAUGUUUUACUGUGUCCAUCUGUGUUGUAUUCUGAAUAAAAAUUCAACUCAUG